GUAGGGAAUCUUGCGCAAUGGGCGAAAGCCUGACGCAGCCAUGCCGCGUGAAUGAUGAAGGUCUUAGGAUUGUAAAAUUCUUUCACCGGGGACGAUAAUGACGGUACCCGGAGAAGAAGCCCCGGCUAACUUCGUGCCAGCAGCCGCGGUAAUACGAAGGGGGCUAGCGUUGCUCGGAAUUACUGGGCGUAAAGGGAGCGUAGGCGGAUAGUUUAGUCAGAGGUGAAAGCCCAGGGCUCAACCGUGGAAUUGCCUUUGAUGCUGGCUAUCUUGAGUAUGGAAGAGGUAUGUGGAACUCCGAGUGUAGAGGUGAAAUUCGUAGAUAUUCGGAAGAACACCAGUGGCGAAGGCGACAUACUGGUCCAUUACUGACGCUGAGGCUCGAAAGCGUGGGGAGCAAACAGGAUUAGAUACCCGUGUAGUCC
rnacentral:rRNA from 1 species